UAAUGUUAACUGUUAUUAAGCAUGAUAGGAAUGAUGAGUUCCUGAAACCUUCUCUUCCGCUCUCUUUUCUUUUUCUUUUUACGAGCACUCUUUUUCCUUCUUACAGUUUUUCCCAUGGGGUUUUCUGUAAAAAGGUUUUAAUGAGGCUCGGCCCUUAGUCUGCGCCCCUGUGCUCUCAAGGGUUCUCUGUUCCCGUUUUCCUUUUUUUUUCUCUUCAAUAAAAUCGCAACUUAAUAAGCAUGAUAGGAAUGAUAAUUAGGGAUCAAUUUGGUUAAUUGUUGAGAAAGCCUAAAAUUGGUUAAUUUUAGUUUACUAAUAAUUGGGAACUUUUGAUUAAUGAUAUAAAUACUUGAAUUGAUGAUGUUUAUGUGUUAAUUAGACUACUAGGAAGGAGAAAUCAUGAUUAAAUUGUUUAUUAAUAAUGAGUUAUGAAAAUUUCCCAAGUUUAGUUUGCGUGCAUACUUGAGAUCUUGUAUAUAAGAUGAGUUAUGAGUUGAGCAUGUCUAUAUGUGGCUAAUUGAUGAUAAAUUGAGCUUAUAUAUGCGAUAUGAGACAAAAUGAAUCGUCCCCUAAAAACUUGUGUGUUGACCGAAUACAUGUCAACGAAGGGGA
rnacentral:lncRNA from 1 species